rnacentral:lncRNA from 1 species
GAAUGUCCCAGGAGCUCCACUUAGUUGCUAACCCCACUUCUAUUUUCCUAUUAGAUUCUCAGAAUGAACACAGACUUCCUUAAAGCAACAUGUCCAGGCUGACUUCAGUCCUUCAUGUAGAAGACUCUCCCUGGUCUGAGAAGAGCAACUGUAUUUGAAUUUGCAAUAAAAGAGCUUCCUAUGUAGUUUCAACGAAAAUGAACUACUGGAUUAUCCUGGAGCCAAGGCAAUUACAGGAAAGUAGGUACUGGUGACAGACAGAGAGUCUACUGGGACCCAAUCAGUAUUCUGAGUUGGUGGUGAUCAGAAAACCUGAAAGAGCAUUGGAAGGAAGAAGAAGGCCAAGUUGAACUCAUCAACUCACUUCACUCACCAAUUUGGACAUGUGGUCCCUCAGCUUCUUUCUCUGGCUGCCUGCUGCCAUGCCUUCCCUACCAUUAUGAGCAUUCCCUCUGCAUGCAGCAUAAAUUCUCAUUAGUCAUGGUAUAUUAUCAGAGCAAGAGAAAAU